AUUGAACGCUGGCGGCAGGCCUAACACAUGCAAGUCGAACGAGUGGCGGACGGGUGAGUAAUGUCUGGGAAACUGCCCGAUGGAGGUGGAUAACUACUGGAAACGGUAGCUAAUACCGCGUACACUCGGAUGUGCCCAGAUGGGAUUAGAUUGUAGGUGAGGUAACGGCUCACCUAGGCGACGAUCCCUAGCUGGUCUGAGAGGAUGACCAGCCACACUGGAACUUAGACACGGUCCAGACUCCUACGGGAGGCAGCAGUGGGGAAUAGUGUACAAUGGGCGAAAGCCGGAUGAUGCCAUGCCGCGGGUAUGAAGAAGGCCUUCUGUUUGUAAAGUACUUUCAGCUGGGAGGCGUUACCCGCAGAAGAAGCACCGGCUAACUCCGUGCUAGCAGCCGCGGUAAUUC
rnacentral:rRNA from 1 species